CUUACUUACAAAAGCAUGUUGUCAUGAAAACAAAAAGAAAGCGCUCAACUCAUAUUUACAGAGUUCCUGCUGUGUCUAGGUGUAUUUAUACACUUGGUCUCAUUAGUCCUCCAAGGAGUUCACUAGCUGUCAUCCUUAGUGGCUGUAUUAAGUUCGUAAAGCUGCUGUAACAAAUUUCAGGUGGUUUAACAAUCAAAGUUUAUUCUCUCAAGGUGUUAUAGUUCAGAAGUUUUAAUCAAGUUGUUGGCAGAGUUGAUUCCUUCUGGAAAAUUUGAGGGAGAAUCCAUUCUGUUCCUCUCUCCUGACUUCUGGUAGCUGAUCACAAUUCUUGACAUUCUGCGACAUGUGGCUAUGUCACUCCGAUCUUUACCUAUGUCUUCAUAUACCCUUCCCAUCUGUGUUUGUCUCUGUCUUCUUUACUCUUACAAAUUCAUUGAAUUAGGGGCCCACCUUAAAUCCAAGAUGAUCUCAGCUUGACAUCCUUAAUUUAAUUCUAUAUUUAUACUUAUGAAUGUGACCCUGUUUUCUAAAUAAGGGGUCAGGAAUUGGAUGUAUCUUUUGGGGACCACAAUUUAACUCACUAUAGUGACCAAGCUAAGAAUUAAAUCCAGACUCUUUCUGAUUUCAGGUGCAGCGUACUUGGACUGUACAAUGACCUCUCCCUCUGGGAGACUGCUUUGCCUGGUUAAGGAGCACAUCAUGGAUUCUUCUCAUCCUGGGGUUACAUGGUUCCCUGUGCUUUUAAUUUAUACCAGGAAGUAGCUUGGACAACUGGUAGAAGUCACUGAGUCUCUAAAUUUUUGAUUUGGUGAUAAGGGCAUACCUGCCUAAAUAAUUUUUGAAUAGUAGUUGGGUUAUGCACUCAGGAUUUGUUAAAUCAUCCAAUCUUAUAACUAACACUUAUUAUUAUUUUUAUGUGUCACACCUGGGCUAAUUGCUUCACAUGCAUCAUCCCAUAUCACCAUUUCUCAUUUAUAGAAGACACUGAGAUUCCCAGGUGGCAUAUCUCAGGUUACAGAGCUGCUAAGUAGUACAGUUGAGAUUUGAACACAGGCGAUGUGACACUAAGUCCCAGGCUCUUGAAACUACAGUAGAGUUACAUUGCCACUGCUCUGUUGGCAAGGAGUCAGCUUCCCUGCCACCAAGCUGGCCCCUAGGCAAUUAGGCUUAGCAAACAAAGACUUGUUAAUCAUGACAAUUAACCACAUAUUUCUAAUAGGAACAGACUGGGCAUUCAGAUAUCUCUUUGUUUAUUUUCCUUCAUUUCAUUUUUGGAGUGACACCAUUGAAAGAUACUUGGAACUAUUGAAUGAAAGUACUUGGAACCUAAGCUUAGCUUUUAGGAAAAAAUAAAAUCAGGGUAUUUCCUUUCAUCGUUAUGAUUCCAGGCCCUUUGGUCUGGAGUUUCCCUAUGCAUUCAUUACUCAGAACAGUUGCUUUGAGUUCGUCAGCACAUUAAAAUGCAAUUUUAAGAAAAUACAGCAUUUCUCUUCCACCACAAACUAGAUUUAUUUUGGUUUGCUGUCAAUGUAAAACAAAUUUCCCUUCAACAGGGUAAUAUAAUAAAGCCUCAGAACUAGGAGGAAGGAUGUAGUAAGUAAGACCUAGUCAGCACUCUAAUUCUUUCUUUCUGAUUAAUAUUUUUAAAUUAUCUUUGGCUGAAACAAGAAAGAUAAAUCAUUAAUAUGACCCAAGUCUAAACAAAAGCUUAUUGCUUUACAGUAUAUUCAUUUAUUUUUAAUGCUCGUGUCAGUUUUUAAAGGAUGACUUUAUAACAGUAUUUAACUACUUAAAACAUUAACUACCAGUCUGCUGGUCCAUCAUCUUAACUUAAAUGCUGAACUAAACUAGAAUUGCUCAUUGCCUCCUCUCCCCUGUAAUGAAAUUUGUUAAUGAUGGUGUAUUUAUGCUUAUAUGGAAGAGGUCAUCUUCUUUUGUAUGUUCUUUCUUUAAUUAACUCAGUAUCCUUGAGAAAGAAUUUCAGCCUAAAUGUCUUACUGAUGGAUUUAUUAUUUUCCUCUUAACGUAAUAAUGUCACUUGUAUUUAGAGAAUCAAGCCAUUACACCAGCUUUGCUUCAACUCUGAAGCUGUCUUUGUAAAUCAUGCAUUCAAGAGGAUCUUGGGAACAUAUUCUGUGAUUCAGGCUUGUAACUUAAUUAUGCUUGGGAAUGAGCAAGAUUAGGGAACAAAAACAGGAAUUCUGGCAACAAAGGAAAGAACUGGCCUCCUUGCCCAUUUGCUGAGCUACUUCCUCUCCUCUGCAUUGGACCCCAACAUGUCACCAGGACAAGAGGCAAGAAACAUGGGUGGAUUGCCUGCAAUUGGGAGUCUGAGUAUUUAGACUUUUAAUGUAGAAUAUUAGUGGUUGUAUGUAAAGUUUCUAUUUUAUUAUUUGAAGUAUUUCAUGCAAAUAAUAAAAAUAAAC
rnacentral:lncRNA from 1 species